rnacentral:RNase_P_RNA from 1 species
GGAGUCGGCCGGGUAAUCGCUACCUGUCUUUAGGCAGGCAGAGGAAAGUCCGGGCUCCGCAGGACAGAGUGCCAGAUAACAUCUGGGAGGCGUGAGCCUAUGGAAAGUGCCACAGAAAAUAUACCGCCGGCUUAUGUCGGUAAGGGUGAAAUGGUGUGGUAAGAGCGCACCGCGCUGAUAGUAAUAUCAGUGGCAGGGUAAACCCCACUCGGAGCAAGACCAAAUAGAGGGGCGCAUUGUUCGCAAUAAGACGUGGUCCGCGUUGUCCCUGGGUAGGUUGCUUGAGGUGUACGGUGACGUACGUCCUAGAUGAAUGAUUGCCUUUAUCAGCUUGCUGGUAGAACAGAACCCGGCUUAUAGGCCGACUCCCUCA